UACGAAGGGGCUAGCGUUGCUCGGAAUCACUGGGCGUAAAGGGUGCGUAGGCGGGUCUUUAAGUCAGGGGUGAAAUCCUGGAGCUCAACUCCAGAACUGCCUUUGAUACUGAAGAUCUUGAGUUCGGGAGAGGUGAGUGGAACUGCGAGUGUAGAGGUGAAAUUCGUAGAUAUUCGCAAGAACGCCAGUGGCGAAGGCGGCUCACUGGCCCGAUACUGACGCUGAGGCACGAAAGCGUGGGAGCAACAGGG
rnacentral:rRNA from 1 species